GCUGCUUUAAUACAAAAUCCUUUGAGGUAAAAAAGAAAAAUAGAGAAUAAUACAUAUAUGUGCACACAGGAAAGAUGUUCAGAACAUUGAGCAAGUAGAGUUAUUUCCUCCCUGAGCUCUUUAAGAAAAAACACAUGGAAAAAACAAGCAGAGUAUCAGUAUUUACUUGUGCUCAUGAAGAGAUGCUCAUACGUCACCCUUUUCAGGAAUCUGUCUGUUUCUCCAUUAAACAUCUGCUACACUUCUUCAACAUCUAUCUUGAAGUUCUCCCUUACUCAGAGAUGGCAUGGACCUCACUCUACAAUUAAGUAAACUGGAAUGAAGGAGUAUC